GUCUAUGGCCAUGCUACCCUCAACAAGCCCGAUCCCGUCUAAUCUCGGAAGCUAAGCAGGGUCAGGCCUGGUUAGUACUGGGAUGGGAGACCAUGUAGGAAAACCAGGUGCUGUAGGCG
rnacentral:rRNA from 1 species